AUAGAAAUUCCCGUUGAUCCUGCGGGAGGUUGCUGCUAUUGGGAUUCGACUAAGCCAUGCAAGUCAAGGGGUUCUUCGGAACACCGGCAAACUGCUCAGUAACACGUCGAUAAUCUGCCCUUAGGUCGG
rnacentral:rRNA from 1 species